AGUUAAUUGGUAUCUAAUUCAGAAGAGAAAAAUGUUUUCCCUGGUCCUGUGUUGGGUGGGGGGCCAAGGGGACGGGAGGGUCCUUCCCCUGGGGGUGGGAGGUGUUGCUUCCUAAAGCCCUCGGAGCAGCAGUGGGGAAUGGAGUGAGCCAUGAAGCUGGUCUUAACAAGCUCCUGCUUUAAUACAUGGUUGAGUUCUUUCCUAUCUGACCUAAGAAAAGAAAGUGCAGCCUAAGCAGGGGGUCUUUUGGCUGCAAGGUCAUAGGUCAGCUGGGGGUUUUAGGCAACAAAAGCACACUGAUGAAAAUUUACUCUUUGGGAAAGAGCAGUUGUAGAGAGAGGAGAGAAUGGUGUUUUGUGCUGAUGGGAAAGAAGUUAGCAUGUGCAUAAUGGCAUCCUUCAAAACACGGAAAUACUGUGACUGGUAAGAAAGUAGAACCAGCUUUAUGAUACUGUGUAAAUCAAGAAAAUCUGGGGUAAACUGCAGCAUUAAAUCCUCUCUGGUGUUAAUUGGUGUUGGUUUAAGUUACUGCAUUUAAGGAUAUUAGCCCAAUAGCAGCUUAACUACAGUUUUAGCAUAACUGUGAAAUGCUAGAUGUAGCUGCAUUGCGUAGAUAACCCAUCUAAUGUUUCUUCUUCGCCAUGCAGAGUGUAAAAUGAGCGUGCCAGAUGUUCACAGAAAAACUGAGGAAGAGGCAAUGUGCAGGCAGCCUGGCCAGCACAUUUGAGCUUCAGUGUUUACUAAAACUUGCGGUGGAAUUGAGCUGACUGGAAGUCGAGGCCUUUGCCGAAUAGGGCAGGGUGGGGAUAUAAGACAGGGAAGCUGUGAGCGGGACUCAGUGUGAAAGGGGAGGCCAGCAACAGCACAGGGAAGAAUGCUCAUGAUCAGACAUGCAGGGGAAAAAGUCUGGCAUAAUUCCUUGAAGUGCUGGCUCCAGCUGCUUCCGUGCCAGCUAUGGAGAGUGAAUUGAAAGUGACUGAUGGGUUACCCCAAUUAAAGGGUGAGGGACAGGAUAAAACAAAAAAUCUCAAAGCUAUUAGUUGUCAUAAAUUAGGAUACAUUGUCAAGAAAAUAAAAAUUGCAGUAACUUAAGUAAUUCUAACAUUUGAAAACAAUGACAUAACUAUGUUAUAAAAUUACUGAACUGUAUCCCUAUUUAUCUGUCUUAAAUCAUUGGUGGAAACACGUAGCACACCUCUGUAUUUUAUUAUCAGACUUGAAAUCUUACAGUAUUGCAGCUAAUGCCAGACGUGAUAGUUUUUGCUUUGCUAGCUUAAAUUAAAUCUUACCAGACAGUUACUAGGAAGAAAGAGAAAUAGUAAUUUUGAAGAUGUUUGGUUUUCAGCCCCCUCAGAAUAAACCAUAAAAAGGGAGAGUAUGAAACAUAACAACUUGAAACUGUAAAGUUGUUAAAACCGUGUUUAUUUUACCGACAGUUAUGUUACUGUCACUGAAAGGUGACUGACAAACCAAUAGUUUUUAUCUGUGAAGUUAGUAAAAUCCUUCCUUAAAGUAACCUAAACCACCAGCAAAAUAAAGAGAUGGGUUUAUGGCCCCACUGCUCCUCCACACCCUUCUCUUCCUGUUGCCUGCAGUAGCGAUACUCUGGGAAAAGGCAUUUGCAGCCUCCUCUGGCAGGAGCGCUCACUUGGGACUCCAGCAGCAGCCAGAGGCCACGUGUGCAAGGUGUGCCCUCCCGGUCCUUCAGGAAGGGAAGUCGCUGUGGAGGCACCAGGCUGAAACGUGGAGAUCGAAGGUUAAUUGCCAGCCCCAUUCCAGAGCUGUGUGUGAUCAGGUGGCCUCUGCUCUUGGGUGUCUCUCACUGAAGCAAAUGUCCUGCUUCAGCCAUUGACAGGUGCAACAGGCUCAAAAGCCAGGAACUUUUCUGAAGGUGACAGCUGCCAUCCCAAACUUGUAAUUUACCUCUUUACCCAAGCAGAGAUUUUUGAGAGAUGUUGGCCCCCGCUGCGUUUUGCAGGCUUCCAGAGUCUUUGUGUGUCACCACCCACCCCAAGUCCUUGAGUGCUGCAAGGGAAAGGUCAUCUCCUGUCAUUGAGCCUGGCUUUUGGUAGGGUUUUUUUAUUUGUGUCUGGAGGAGGUACAUUUGUUAUUUCUGGUAUAAGCAACCCAGGUAACAGUGAAGUACUGUGUGAAUUCAGCUGUAAUGAGCUCUCAAGCAACAGAUUUUCUUCAGCUUAGUAGCCUAAUUCCGUACUUCUCUUGUUCCUAUCCAGACAUUUAGCUCAAGAGCUCGGUGGUUACCCAUGAAAGUUGUUUGCUUGCUCCGUUUAACUCUCAAAACAAAUACGUUAUUCUUGCUGUGGAAAACUGAUCAAAGUUUUACAGUGUAUUCAGGUGCUCAAAAAGAUGAUCCUUUGAUUUUUUUUUUUUUUUUUUUUUCCUCCUAAGUGAAGAACCAAGAACUAAUUCAGUAUCAGAAGUGGAACUGAGUUUUAGUCAAUGUGACUCAAGGCCUUGGAACAGGGUUAGCUGCUUGCCUAAGGGGGUGUCCACUAGAGGCUGGGAAGCAGCUAGCUGAGUAGCAGCCCUGCUGAAGAGGAUAGGACUUAAGAGUGGCUGCCAAAUUGAAUGUAGGCCAGGAGACCAAUAAGUCAAACUGCAGUCUGGGCUCCAUCAGGAAGUAUGUGGCCAACGAAUGAAGGGAUGCACUUACCCACCAGUACUGACACUGCUGAGCAGUGCAUCUAAUAUUGCUGUCCAGCUUUGGGCUUCUUGCUCAAGGAUGUUGAAAAACUGUAGACUCCAGUGAUGGGCUCCUAAGGUGUCCACAGAACUCAAGGCCUGCCCUCUGGAAAGACAGUGGAAGAAGCUGGAUUUAGUCUGUGGGGUGAACUAAUAAGAGCCCAAUAUUAUCUGCAGGACAGUUAUAAAGAUGGAGCCAAACACCUCCUGAUAGCCGCAGGAGACGUGGCUGGGGCAAUGGCCACAAACUCAAGCUUGGGAGCUCCAGGCCAGGCAGCAGGACAGGCCUGUUUUACUCUGAGGGCAGUGCACUGGGUGGCCCAAAGAGGUCGUGUAAUUUCCACUCUUGCAGGUUUUCAGGCAUCAUCUAGACAAAGCCCCCAGCUGACCUGAGCACAAGUGCCAGUCCUGCUGCAAGUGGGAGGAUGAACUCCAUGUCCAGAAGCAAAUCUCUGUGAUUCUGCAGCCUACAGAGAAACACAGAAUCUGCAAAACCCAAGGCAGGAAAAUCCCAGUACCAUGCAGAGGACAACCUGACUCACACAAGAGCAUCCUGUUUUGCCUUCAGGAAUUGUUCCCUCCAAUGCAGUGCUCCCAGGCUGGGCCGGAGGCCCCACAGCAUCCCAGGUGCUCUGGCAGCAGCAGGGAGCACAUAGCAGGGAAGACAAAGUGUGCACAGUGUGGAGGUGCCAUGCUUUGUGUACACAGCUCUGCUGCUCACAACCUGCAUGUGGAGCUGCAUGGGGACUUGCCUGUGCUAGCUCAACUUUACUGAGUCUUGUUUCUCAGCAUGAUGUGAGCAAACCCCAAGUGUCACUGCUUUCAGAAAAAGAUAUUACAGUAAAUACCUCCUUCGAGACUUACUCAUUUCCUUUCCCCCAUCUCUCACUACUUUCUUAACUGCAAAGACAAAAGUCCUUUUAUAAUACAAGGCUUAUCUUACCUACUUUCUCAACAGCCCCACAAAGCUGAGAGUUCAGCAGAGCCCGAAUACAGCUCUAUCUUGUUAAUGAGUAAGUUACAUGAGAAAGAGAGAAUCAGACCUUUCGUGCAUCUCCCACCUUGUAAACAAUCACUGGUACUUUAAGUGUGUAUUUAUGUCCAGGGAGAUCUUCAGUACUAUUCUGGGCCUUUUUAUUUAGCAAUUGUCUUGGGCAUCUAGCACCAUUUCAGAACUCCCCAUGUCUAAGGCAAACAGAUCUUUGUUGAUUCCUGGAGGAAAACCUCCAGAGCACAGAGUGGCAGAAGACUUGUUACAGGCUGAUGUGACAUAAACAAAGGCCACGCUCAGACUAGAGGACACAUCCUUGCAUUUAUAUGCCACAGGAGUUAUCAGAGGUGUCCUAGUAAGCAGCCAUCUGAUCCUAGCUAUGGGAGAAUUAACACUGGGAGAACAAGUACCCUUUAAAUCCUUUUAUGCCAACCAGCCAGCAGAUCCCCCCAUCAUUAGUGCAAAUUGAAUCUGCCCUAGGCUACCAAGUUGUAAAUAGUUUUUGAGCAUGAAAAGGUUUGAGGGAAAAACUGAGUUGUCUUACCCAUAGUUUUGAUUUUGGUAACUUCUAGGACCAAAAGUACUCUGCAGAUCAAAGAUUGUCUACGAAAGCAGAAGAGGUAACAAAAAGUUGCUCUAAAGUAACACAUAUCAAGUCACCCACAUGAGUAAUUGCAUUUCUAAGUUUUUACACUUGCCGUUGUUUUUUGCUAUUGAUGUUGACAACAUGUUAAGCACUAAGCAUCUUUUUAAGCUACAACUAAGUUUGCAUAGCAACCAAUUCAUUGCUGAAUCUUCAGCCACUCCCAGUACUGGCAGAAAGACAAACUAAGGCAAGAAUUGCAUCCAGAGUAAUUGCUGGCCAAGUCCUGAUUUCAGCCAGUUCCCUGCAAAGGCUGGCUCUGGAGAGGCCUUCUGUGCUGGAGGAGAUGGCUGGUGCCUUGCAAAGCAGAGAAGUGCACAAAACUAACCACUAAUCUGCCGUUGUUUUAAGAUAAGGCCUCCUUCCCCCCUCUACCUGCACGGAGUGCUUUGCCUGGGAUGAGGAUGUGCGUGAGAGAGGCGCUGCUCUGACUUCACCGCAGCAGGUCUGUUACACAGCGAGUUACAAAGCUGGUCUUCGGCGUUUCCCCAUAGCAGCUUUUGCUGACAUCCUGGAGCUUUCCCCAUCCUCCACAGUGCUUUGGGCCAAGUUGUCUCCAGCUGUACUUACUCCUCCCUUGCUAGUUCACAAAUACAUGUGCGCACUUCUUUGCUUGGGAGAGCCCAGCCCCCAGCAGUUAAACAUCUGCGGAAGUGUCGAAGUAUUUCAUGUCUCUGUUAACUGAGUUUGAUUUCUUGUGGCUUAGUCUGAGGCUGCCCUGUUAGGAAGCACUGGCCUAGCUUUUCAAAAGGUCAUGAACAAGGAAACUUCCUAAUCUUAAAAGAAUACUUCAUCACCUAUUUCUAUUAAAAGCAUUGCUUGGAGUGUUGCAAGAAAAAAAAAUCAGUGGCUUACACCAUGAGUAAGAAUUUUUCUUUUAAUACAAGUGGCUUGGACUGCACAUGGCAUUACCAGAAGACUGAUUUAAUUCAUUCCACUAUCAGAAAAAGUGGGCACAACGUCUAAAAAUGUCUUCGCUGCUGAGCUGUCCUGCAGCAGGCACUGAAAGGAACUCGUGUACAGGUGCCACUUCCACUGAGCUCCUACACACAGGUGGCAGCACUGCCGAGUACUCCCGGUGCAGCACAGGAAGCAGUGCAGCACGCUGGAAGGGCCAGCUCCUGGCAGCAGAGCCGGGUUCGGCGACAGGGAUCCCAUAAGCCACUCCAGAACCAAAGCCUUCCCCUGAUGUCCCACAGCUGAGUCUGUUUACAAAGUCCUUUCCCGCAGGACACAGCCCCUUGCCAAGACCGUGGCGUGUCGGGGAAGCACCUCCCUGUACACAGUGUGUAUCCUAGCGACUGUUACUAGCAAAGGCAGAAAUACAACUGGAGUUUGUUUGGUUGUUAAAUGGGCGCUUCCUCCCGGGACACCCAGCACAGCCCUGCCUUGAGCCUGCAGCUGAGCGUGCACAGCCCCCUCAGGCACGGUGGGGCGGCCACAGCCCGAUGGGCUCUUAGAUGAGAGAUGGCAGCAGCUUCAUCAGACACGGCUGCAAGGAGAGUGCCACCAGCAGCACUGGCACCGCUGCCAACAGCUGCACAGGCAGCGUGUGCCAUGGUCCGACUGCCACAGAGACAAGCUCAAGGCUGUCCAGGUUUCUCUAUUUGGAAAAAAACCCACCUCAGUUAGAAGACCAAACCCAGUUUGCCGUCCAAAAGGAGAAGCACCCAAAUACAUGAACCCAAACCCCAGUGUUGUAUGCCACUAUCCGUGCCACCGCCACCAGCAGCACAGCUGCUCUAAUCCAGGUACUUUUCUGCAUGUAAACAAGCCCUUGUAAGCUGCGAGGAAUCACUGAACGUGACAGAUGGCUCAGCCCUCUCAUUUUGGCAGUGCACAGCUGUGCCCUCCUCACCUUUCUGUAGCCACCAGCCAAGUUUCAUUUUUUCCUUUUCAAAUGCAAACUGUGGUUUCUUUAGUAUUAGCGGCGCUCUAGGUAACUGCUUCUCUAUAAAAGCCAUUUUCACGUGGCAAAAUAAAUCCCUUCUCUAGGAAUAUUGAGCUACGCUGAGAGUGAGUCUGUGUGGGCAGACCCAGGCUGAAUACACGGCUCCAUGCAAGUGCUGCUCUCCACUCAACUGUGACAAAUCAUGAGCGGGACGUACUUGGACGUUUCCACCCCCUCUCUGAGCUACACGUGUCCCCGUAGUGCAUGUGCUGAGGCUUUUUGAAUUCUGUUCCUCAGAUAGUGCUGAACUUACCAAAACAGCUUUUGUUGGAGUGUUGUUAAUAGAAACAAGAUACUCCUUUUUGAGUGAGAGUUGAAGCACUUCACGUGUGGCUGCUUUGUUGGAUUUUUUUUUUUAAACACCAUACAAUGAAGAACUGAAAACAAAACGUCCCAGACUUCUGAAUUGAAAUACAGGCUUUACAACCACAUAGUAAGUGUAGGCUCUUAUAUUUUAGUUUAAGACUAAAUCAUUUUAUAGAGUACCAAAAUAAGCAAAGGAUCAGCACUCCAUACAAAGUGUUAGUUCUCGUGAAGAGGGUAGAAGGGAAAUGGACUUUAAUUACACUAAAUUUUUUUUUGCAAGUCUAAAGAAAACUCCAUUUCAGCAAAACAGAUUUGGGUUUCAAUUCCCCGAAGUUCAUUAAAUAGUGUUUCUUUAAAGACAAUUUACAUUUUUCUCAUUCAAAGUAAAGGGAUGACUUAAAGCACUAUUAACAAGGAGGUGGUGCUGUUAAUGUUUAAUGUCAAUAUGCAAUGGCAUCUGCUAUAAAGGCUAGAAGAGCAACACAAGUUUAUCUUUACUUCUGAAGUCUACUAGAAAUUGACUAACACUGGAGAAAAGUUUCAAGCACAGCACACGACUCUAGCUCUAUGCUGCUGCCAGGAAGCCUCUGCUAGUCCAUACACUGCCACGGGGACUCUGCCAGCACAGCCCAGGGCCCCAAUGGCAGCAGUGAGACAUUCUCACACGUGUACCCCAUGUCCCACUUACAAUGGGUACAUCUUCUCCCUGUCUUACGGCAUUAAAAUGCAAGUUAGCAGCUAACAUUGCCACUACAAUUUUACAGAAGCAUAAAGCUGAACAAAAUAGCAGUUAAAACAAAUUGAAGCUCUCUGUUAAACUCCAUGGCAACCCUUCCUCCUGUCCUACACCCUUGUCCCAAUUCCUUCCCUGACUCCUUGCCUAAUGUCUAUUUUACAAUGAAGAGGUUUAAGUGGAUUUACAUGAUGCAAGCGCAACUCAAAGGCUUUUGCCCUAUACAUAUAACCAUGUUAAACUGUGAAUUAUACACGUGAUAGAUUUCUAACAGAGCAACCACCAGUUUUUUUAAAGAAACACAAGUAUUUCAGCAUGUACAGUAAUGAGUUUAAAACUGUCCAACAUCGUCGCUUUCAUACAUUCUCUUCCCUCUUUAUAGCAUUAACGGGAUUUUAGACCUUGAUGGCGACAAUCCCAAACAAGAGUAAAAUGAAUUUAUUUUAUUGCAAACAAACGUCUAGAGUUAAACUUCUCCACCCACUUUCUUUAAAGAGAAAAGGAAUCAGCAGGCUAAGGAGAUACACCCAUUUGAGAAUUGACAUGAUUAAAAAUUAAGAUAUAAAAUGGGUGACUCACAGUUUCAUUAGCUUACAAAAUGGUGGAGUAACUACUACAAGCACACUAGGUAUACAGUAUUUUGUGGGGAGUUAUACAGACACACAGCUAACUUCAUAUAGAUCCCAUUAGACAACUGGAUUUACAACAAGUUUUGUUUAAUAAGAAAUGGGCAAAGCCAGCUUCUUUUCAGAAUCAAAAUGCAGAACAAAUGGAAAAAAAAUUAUGGUGUUGUACCUUCACAAGUUUGAGCCUCCACAAAUAAAGCAACCGAGUUUUACAACUUUAAGAGCUUCUACAUACACUCCACCAUCACUAUCUAGCCCCAGGUUUCCUCUUUGCCCCCAACAUCUUACUGAGUUCCAAAUGUUACAAAAAAGUCCUAGUUAUUGCCAGAAACUUUUGCCUCCCCCUCCUCCCCUCCCCACCCAAGAGCUUCAUAGAGAGGAUGGAGUGUAAUAGGGAGCUUUACAUAAUCUCAUGGUAUUUGAGGGCUACUAAGAUGCCUCCAUACGAAUCUGGUUGCUAACAUUUCUAUUGUAUUGUGACAUGACUCACGACUGUUUCUUAGAAAUUGGGGGAUGGGGAAAAAGGAGAAAAUUCUUUAAUAAAAAGACACCAGGUACAAAGCAACGUUUUACUUUUGUUGUGGUAAAAAAAAAGUCACAUUUUACAGAUAAAAUGUAGAACCCUGAAAUACUGACACAUUCUCUUAUCGUGCACAAUGCUGAGGUUCUCUUACGAAUCACUUUAAAACUGCAAUUAAAAAUGUACAAAAAAAGAAAAGAAAAAAAUCAACCCACAAA